UACGUAGGGAGCAAGCGUUGUCCGGAAUCAUUGGGCGUAAAGCGCGCGUAGGUGGCUCUGUAAGUCCGUUGUGAAAGUCAAAGGCUCAACCUUUGAAAGCCGAUGGAUACUGCAGAGCUAGAGUCCGGAAGAGGCGAGUGGAAUUCCUGGUGUAGCGGUGGAAUGCGCAGAUAUCAGGAGGAACACCACUAGCGAAGGCAGCUCGCUGGGACGGUACUGACACUAAGGCGCGAAAGCGUGGGGAGCGAACAGG
rnacentral:rRNA from 1 species